UUAAUUCUAGGUUUAAUUCAGACACAGACAUAUGGCAUAAAUACGACGCCAAGGCGCCGAAGCACGGCUAUAUUCCACGGGUUUUGAAGUUGAAGGCCGAAGCCAUUCGUUAAUGAUCCCUCCGCAGGUUCACCUACGGAGA
rnacentral:misc_RNA from 1 species